GAUCAUGGCUCAGAUUGAACGCUGGCGGCAGGCCUAACACAUGCAAGUCGAACGGUAACAGGAAGCAGCUUGCUGCUUUGCUGACGAGUGGCGGACGGGUGAGUAAUGUCUGGGAAACUGCCUGAUGGAGGGGGAUAACUACUGGAAACGGUGGCUAAUACCGCAUAACGUCGCAAGACCAAAGAGGGGGACCUUCGGGCCUCUUGCCAUCAGAUGUGCCCAGAUGGGAUUAGCUUGUUGGUGAGGUAACGGCUCACCAAGGCGACGAUCCCUAGCUGGUCUGAGAGGAUGACCAGCCACACUGGAACUGAGACACGGUCCAGACUCCUACGGGAGGCAGCAGUGGGGAAUAUUGCACAAUGGGCGCAAGCCUGAUGCAGCCAUGCCGCGUGUAUGAAGAAGGCCUUCGGGUUGUAAAGUACUUUCAGCGGGGAGGAAGGUGUUGUGGUUAAUAACCGCAGCAAUUGACGUUACCCGCAGAAGAAGCACCGGCUAACUCCGUGCCAGCAGCCGCGGUAAUACGGAGGGUGCAAGCGUUAAUCGGAAUUACUGGGCGUAAAGCGCACGCAGGCGGUCUGUCAAGUCGGAUGUGAAAUCCCCGGGCUCAACCUGGGAACUGCAUUCGAAACUGGCAGGCUUGAGUCUUGUAGAGGGGGGUAGAAUUCCAGGUGUAGCGGUGAAAUGCGUAGAGAUCUGGAGGAAUACCGGUGGCGAAGGCGGCCCCCUGGACAAAGACUGACGCUCAGGUGCGAAAGCGUGGGGAGCAAACAGGAUUAGAUACCCUGGUAGUCCACGCCGUAAACGAUGUCUACUUGGAGGUUGUGCCCUUGAGGCGUGGCUUCCGGAGCUAACGCGUUAAGUAGACCGCCUGGGGAGUACGGCCGCAAGGUUAAAACUCAAAUGAAUUGACGGGGGCCCGCACAAGCGGUGGAGCAUGUGGUUUAAUUCGAUGCAACGCGAAGAACCUUACCUGGUCUUGACAUCCACAGAAGAAUCCAGAGAUGGAUUUGUGCCUUCGGGAACUGUGAGACAGGUGCUGCAUGGCUGUCGUCAGCUCGUGUUGUGAAAUGUUGGGUUAAGUCCCGCAACGAGCGCAACCCUUAUCCUUUGUUGCCAGCGGUCCGGCCGGGAACUCAAAGGAGACUGCCAGUGAUAAACUGGAGGAAGGUGGGGAUGACGUCAAGUCAUCAUGGCCCUUACGACCAGGGCUACACACGUGCUACAAUGGCGCAUACAAAGAGAAGCGACCUCGCGAGAGCAAGCGGACCUCAUAAAGUGCGUCGUAGUCCGGAUUGGAGUCUGCAACUCGACUCCAUGAAGUCGGAAUCGCUAGUAAUCGUGGAUCAGAAUGCCACGGUGAAUACGUUCCCGGGCCUUGUACACACCGCCCGUCACACCAUGGGAGUGGGUUGCAAAAGAAGUAGGUAGCUUAACCUUCGGGAGGGCGCUUACCACUUUGUGAUUCAUGACUGGGGUGAAGUCGUAACAAGGUAACCGUAGGGGAACCUGCGGUUG
rnacentral:rRNA from 1 species